GAUGAAGAACGUAGCGAAAUGCGAUAAGUAAUGUGAAUUGCAGAAUUCAGUGAAUCAUCGAAUCUUUGAACGCACAUUGCGCCCGCCAGUAUUCUGGCGGGCAUGCCUGUUCGAGCGUCAUUUCAACCCUCAGGGCCCUUUUGGACCUGGCGUUGGGGCUCGGCCGCUACCCUGCGGCCGUCCCCGAAAGAUAGUGGCGGUCUCGCUGUAGCCUCCUCUGCGUAGUAGUUACAUCUCGCACUGGAACGCGGCGCGGCCAUGCCGUUAAACACCCCACUUCUCAAGGUUGACCUCGGAUCAGGUAGGAAUACCCGCUGAACUUAAGCAUAUCAAUAAGCGGAGCA
rnacentral:misc_RNA from 1 species